UUUUCUGGCUGAGUGCUUCACAGACACAUCUGAGUUUGUUUGAUGUUUCAGCUGUAAAGUGCUCUUCCAUCCCCUGCCCCAUGCUUUUCCAUACAACCCCCUUUUUUGGAAAGAGGUCACUAUGUACAGCCCACACUGAAGGGGAGGGGAGUUAUCCAUGUCUACAGAAGGACUUUAAACAUGGAAGGUGACUUGAUAAGAAUUGUGCUUCAGGGCCAGGGGCAGUGGCUCAUGCCUGUAAUUCCAGCACUUUGGGAGGGGAGGCUGGAGGAUCAGCUAAGCCCAGGAGUUUGAGGCUGCGGUGAGCUGUGAUCACAUCACUGCACUCCAUCCUGGACAAACAGAGCAAGACUCUGUUUCUUAAAAAAAUAAAGAAUGAAUUGUGCUUCAGAAAGAUUGCUCUAGCUAAUAGAGAGACUGAAUUUGGAGAGACCGAAUUUAGCGUGGAACCCUUAAGUCAGGACAAGAUGACAAACCACAAAUUUGGAAACUGAAGGUUAGUGGCAACAGGGAUAGGUUUGAGAAAAGUUGAAGAGAUUAGUGGAUGGGGCUCAGUGGAUUUUGCAGAGUGUGUAUGCUCGAGUGCUAGUGGGAGAUGAGGGGACUCCAAGAUGACUUGCAGCCUUAUUGCUGGGAGUUGGUGACUGUACAAGUUAUAGUGUUAAUUUUUUUUAGAUAAACAGGAAGAAACAGCUUGUUGAUAGUGGUAAGGGUAGAUGAGAGGGCAAUAAACUGUGGCAGAGAUGCUUUUUGAGUCGUUCGUGACUUAAUGUGUGUUCUGUCUUGAGAUACAGAUUUAGAAGUCAUUAACAUAAUAAAUGGUUUGAGAAAUUUGCAGUGUUAGGUGUUCUGACAUAGGGAAAGUAAUUAAUACUAGAUGAAAAAGAGGAACCCAGGGAACACUGAUGUUUAAAAAUGGGUAAAACGUGGGGAAAGGUCAACUUUUGUUAAAAUCUGUUAUCACUAUUCAUGUGGACAUUUAAUUCCUCUGCAUCACAUCCUCUGUUCUGUUCACCCUGGAAGUGUAAAACACUAUACCAAAGGACACAACACACUAUACGUGUUAAGAACAUUUCUUCUGAGGAUAGUUUCUGUUGUGGUGAUGCUAAUCAGAAUAAAUCUUGCUAAAAUUAAGAAGCUGAAGAUGUAUGGAAAGCAAUUGACCCAACAGCACUACUUCAUGUAAGAUAAGCAGUGGCAGUACAAAAAUGAAGAAUAGAUUGUUUGUUACCAAGGAAUUAACAAUUUAGUGUAUUUACUGGGUAAUACAGUACAAAGUAAGCAAUAGUAGUUGGUUGUAUGUCAGUUGUGGCAUGACUGAGCUAACUGCUGAAGCCCUUUCUAUCUCUCUUCUCUCCGUGUCUAGCUUUGUUCUUGCCUGCCUUUUUAUUUUUUAAAGUCCUGCUCCUAUUUUGGAGGUGGGGGACUAGCGGGGUAUACUAUACCCCUUGUUAACCAACUGCAAUGUAAGUUAAAAUAUAUUUUUAAGUGUUUUUGAUUUUUAAAAACAAGCAAAUAGAGCACAUUAUCAUAGAGGAAAAAAAUCUUCAAAGAAAAAAUUUGUUUAGUUUUCAGAUUCUUUGUGAAAUCACUAAUCUUUGAGGGGAAAAAUGUUUUUCCAUAAAUUUAGGAGAACAGGAGGUUUGAGUUUUUAAGGACUUUACAGCAUGCCUAUAUUUAUUGUAGAUUUUAAUUCUAGAGAGCUGGUGAUUGGAAAUUAUGGACCUAUUUGUUCCAAUUUAAACUUUGAGCAUGUAAAAAGCAAGAGAUUAGAGAAGUCAGACAGUAGGUAUAUACUUUGUAGACAGAUACAGGUAUUUAAAUUACCAAAGUUGCUUCUGACCUCCUCAUUUUAUAGAGAAUGAACUGUUGCCAGUUGAGAGUCCUUAAGCCAUUUAACUUUAGUGUAAAAUACAAAAUACUUAAUGGAUAUCAUGGGGAGGAAAUUUUUUUUUUCUCUUUUGAGACCAACAUGGUGAA